rnacentral:rRNA from 1 species
GGAUGAACGCUGACAGAAUGCUUAACACAUGCAAGUCUUUGGCGAAUCUGUGCUUGCACAGGCUAGCCAAGGCGGACGGGUGAGUAACGCGUAAAGAACUUGCCCUGCAGACAGGGAUAACAGACGGAAACGACUGAUAACACCUGAUACAGUUGCCGGCACGCAUGUGCCUGGCAAUGAAAAGAGAUGCUGCAGGAGAGCUUUGCGUCCUAUUAGCUUGUUGGUGAGGUGACGGCUCACCAAGGCGAUGAUAGGUAGCCGGCCUGAGAGGGUGAACGGCCACAAGGGGACUGAGAUACGGCCCUUACUCCUACGGGAGGCAGCAGUGGGGAAUAUUGGACAAUGGGGGCAACCCUGAUCCAGCAAUUCUGUGUGCACGAAGAAGGUUUUCGGAUUGUAAAGUGCUUUCAGCAGGGAAGAAGAAAGUGACGGUACCUGCAGAAGAAGCGACGGCUAAAUACGU